UAGAAGGCGCUCUGGUGGGAUCUUUACAGACAAAAUAAGAUUGCAGUCAGUUUGAUAAUGAUCCCGUGACAAUGCUUCUUUGGCCCGAACGGGGUUGAUGAUUGAAGCAAAGAAUAUUAGUGUUCAGCAAUCAGAUGGAUACUGGUUUUGGAAGAAAAUUGCAGGAAGACUGUUCCAAAUGGCUAAUGAAGAGUUGUAGAAAAUAAAGAUUGGCUUGCGGUGCUACAUUUGUAAAUUUUGUUGUUGCUUCUGUAGCCACUAGCAGGCAAAAUAUCACCAUCAAGGUAAUCAUUUUCCUGCUGGCCAUUUUUGUAACAAACAACAAAUUAGGAUAAAAUAAUCUUUCUUUUUCUUGAAUGGUUUAUAAAUGUUUGUCUUUUGAUAGAAAGGAGGAGAAGGAAAAAGAA